rnacentral:tRNA from 1 species
GCCCUGUGGCUCAGUAGAUUAGAGCAUAUACUCCAAAAGGUUGUGGGUUCAAUUUCCACUCAGGGCA